rnacentral:rRNA from 1 species
GAUGAACGCUGGCGGCGUGCCUAAUACAUGCAAGUCGAGCGAACGGACGAGAAGCUUGCUUCUCUGAUGUUAGCGGCGGACGGGUGAGUAACACGUGGAUAACCUACCUAUAAGACUGGGAUAACUUCGGGAAACCGGAGCUAAUACCGGAUAAUAUUUUGAACCGCAUGGUUCAAAAGUGAAAGACGGUCUUGCUGUCACUUAUAGAUGGAUCCGCGCUGCAUUAGCUAGUUGGUAAGGUAACGGCUUACCAAGGCAACGAUGCAUAGCCGACCUGAGAGGGGGGUCGGCCACACUGGAACUGAGACACGGUCCAGACUCCUACGGGAGGCAGCAGUAGGGAAUCUUCCGCAAUGGGCGAAAGCCUGACGGAGCAACGCCGCGUGAGUGAUGAAGGUCUUCGGAUCGUAAAGCUCUGUUAUUAGGGAAGAACAUAUGUGUAAGUAACUGUGCACAUCUUGACGGUACCUAAUCAGAAAGCCACGGCUAACUCCGUG